GACGAACGCUGGCGGCGUGCUUAACACAUGCAAGUCGAACGGAAAGGCCCUGCUUUUGUGGGGUGCUCGAGUGGCGAACGGGUGAGUAACACGUGAGUAACCUGCCCUUGACUUUGGGAUAACUUCAGGAAACUGGGGCUAAUACCGGAUAGGAGCUCCUGCUGCAUGGUGGGGGUUGGAAAGUUUCGGCGGUUGGGGAUGGACUCGCGGCUUAUCAGCUUGUUGGUGGGGUAGUGGCUUACCAAGGCUUUGACGGGUAGCCGGCCUGAGAGGGUGACCGGCCACAUUGGGACUGGGAUACGGCCCAGACGCCUACGGGAGGCAGCAGUGGGGAAUAUUGCACAAUGGGCGGAAGCCUGAUGCAGCAACGCCGCGUGCGGGAUGACGGCCUUCGGGUUGUAAACCGCUUUCGCCUGUGACGAAGCGUGAGGGACGGUAAUGGGUAAAGAAGCACCGGCUAACUACGU
rnacentral:rRNA from 1 species